AUAAUACUCAUAGAUUAGAGACACUGGAAUGUUCUUUAGUCGAAAGUUCUGGCGCCUUAGGAUGGAUCUGCGGUCGAUUAGGUUGUUGUUGGGGUAACGGCCCAACAAGCCUGUAAUCGAUACGGGUUGUGGGAGCAAGAGCCCGGAGAUGGAAUCUGAGACACGAUUCCAGGCCCUACGGGGCGCAGCAGGCGCGAAAACUUUACAAUGCAGGAAACUGUGAUAAGGGAACUCCGAGUGCCCGUAUACGCGGGCUGUCCAGGUGUUUAAAAAUCAUCUGAAGAAAGGGCCGGGCAAGACCGGUGCCAGCCGCCGCGGUAAUACCGGCGGCUCGAGUGGUGGCCACUAUUAUUGGGCUUAAAGCGUCCGUAGCUGGACCGAUAAGUCUCUUGGGAAAUCCGCCGGCUCAACCGGCGGGCGUCUAAGGGAUACUGUUAGUCUAGGGACCGGGAGAGGUGAGAGGUACUCCGGGGGUAGGAGUGAAAUCCUGUAAUCCCCGGGGGACCACCGAUGGCGAAGGCAUCUCACCAGAACGGCUCCGACAGUGAGGGACGAAAGCUGGGGGAGCGGAACGGAUAUAAACCCGGGUAGUCCCAGCCGUAAACUAUGCGCGUUAGGUGU
rnacentral:rRNA from 1 species